CUGGGCAGGUGCUGAGCCAGGUCCUGCAGGUCACCCAGUCGCUUGAGUCCACGAAUGCUGGAGGCAGGCACUGGAGAGCCAGGGUGGUUCAGCCGCAGCUCCUCUGAGCAGGGAGUCAAACAGGUUUGGGUGACCCUUGUGAGCAAGGUCCCGGGGCAUCACUAAUUUCCACCCCCUUCUCUGGUAAUGACUCUGGUGCGGCCUGGCCCUGGCAGUCACAGCUCCUCUCUCUCCCUAUAGGGCUGAAACAGACACCAGCUCUCCAGGACCAGCUGGUAAGAGCUUCUCCACUGCCCCCGAGCCCUGACAGGAGGACUCCCACAGUGUGCAUGGAAGCCCAGGGAGCUCGGGGGCUACAGAGGCACCAUUGGCUCUGGAGCCUGCAGCCCAGACAGCCCCCUCCAGAUGUAAUGGGGGAAGGAGCCAGGGACUGGGAGGAAUUCAGAGGUCAGAGGAGGAGCAGUAUCAGGAGAUACUGCCCUCCUGCAACUCCUCCUCCCAGCUGCUCUCCCCUCCUGCUAGUGCCCACAAUGGCUCCCAGCUGCCUCCUAUAAGGAAGCUUUAUUAGCCUGCAGCCUGUACUCCUCCACGCAGCAGAGCUGACAGGACCCCAUUAGUCAGCUUAUUCAACCCUUCCCCUGGUGCACAAACCCUUGCCAAGCUUUUCUGGCAUUUUGCUCAGCCUGCUUGGACCCUCCAAGCAGGUAGGAACUCACUGUUUCACAAAGCAGUGUUAUUAGAAAGGUUUCCCUGACCCUAGCCCCCCACAUCUAAUCUUUCUCAAAUGUGGGCAGACUUGUUCCUGGCCCCUUCUCAUUCCACCAGUGCACACAUGCACAUGCUCCCUCUCUCCAUCCAAGCUCCAGGAAUCAACCUCUACCCUGAACCAGGUCCCUGAGGACCACCACGUGGCUGCAACACAGCAGGAGUUCACAGUCCAGAGGAGAAGCCCGAUGCUGAACAGAGAAUCACAUCCGUGAGCAACACAAAAGGCAAGGCAAACCCUGGGCAGAUGCCCCCGGGACUGUGUGUUAUGGGCCUACAGGAAGCCUCUCCCAAUGAAAAAGCAAUUUUUCAGCCAGAACCUCCACCAGUGUCUUUCAAACUGAGCCUGGACCUGUGGCCUUCCCUGCCUCCACCUGGGCCUCAACCGUCACGACCACCUGGCCUUUGAGGUAGGGUUUGGAGAAGGAAGUCAGCCUAUUAUCAGGAGAAGGCUUGAAUUUCUAUAUUCAUAGCUUGUUUCUGUCACUUACUAGCCUUGUGAUCAUGGGCAACUUGUCUAAUCUCUGUCCCUCAGUUUCCUCCUUUGUAAAAUAGGUCUCAUAGAACUCAUCCCCAAAAGUCCUUGUGAAGAUUUAGUUUGUAAGCCAGAUGUCUGCAGACCUCCAGUAAAAGAAUAUGUUUUUGGUAUUAGUAUAAAUCAAAUGGCUCACGCUGUGUCUCAGAGCUGCAACGAUCCAACGCCCUCCAUCCUUCAGAGGCUGUCUGAGUCCGGGGACACAACUCCCACCCUCCUCUCCUGCCAGCCGCGGCCCGUGGCUGCUCUCUUCACUUCGUCCCGCUUCGCCCCGACUGUGGAUCUACCCGCUCCCUUCUCCCUCAGUCCCCAAAGCACCAGACUCACAGGCCUGCUGUGUGACCCACUUUUACCGACCUUUCGGGGAGAGUAGAGGGCAUUUGUGACUCAGCUCAGAGCAGGAAACACAUCUCACGUCAACUGUCAGACAGCGCUGCUCCGAAUCCCAUCACAGUGCUCCAGCAGGGGGCGUCCUCACCGGCCGCGGCCACAGCCACGGCUCAACCCGGCCUAGCUCCCAGACACCCUCCUUCCACCGCCUGUUUUCCACCGUCCCCGCCUGCUCUUUCAAGCCAGCAGCAAACAACACCCUAAUCCGUGUCUUUAUUAUUCAAAGACCUUAAGCACUCUUUCCCACCUCGUUCCCAUCUUGAUUAUUUCAGGGAAUGAAUUAGGGAUUCACCUUUACAAUCAAAAAAGUUCUCUCAAAGCCAGGCUACUGGAGUUCUAAUUCUGCCUUCCCACUUUUACUAGCUGUGAAAUCUCAGGAAAGUUACUUAACCUCUCUCUGUCUCAUUUUCCUCAUCUUUAAAAAACAGGAUGAUAAUAUUUAGCUCCUAAGAUGGUUGUGAGGAUUUAAGUGAGCUGAUAUAUCCAAGAAUGUCUAGAACAGCGCGUGGCAGAAUGGGCAUUGCAUAUGGGUUUAAUCUUGUAACUGCCAUGUUUCACCAAUUCUAAGGUGUAUCUCGUUUCUCAUCAUAAGAGCUCUUCCGCUCGUGUGGCAGCUGGGAGUGGCCGUCAUUGCCUGCGCAUACCUAAACUUGGUCAGCAGCCAAGUGUUUUGUGAGACCUAAGAAAGGAAGAGCCCCAUAAGUAAAUGGAACUGUUGUGUUGUUUUAUUACCGAGAAAAGGGCAGAAUGAUUGCUAGUCACACGUGAAGCAAGAAAACCCCGGCAAUAAAGCUUGCAGAAUGAGUGGCUGAGGCUUGAAAAUAAAUGGUGGAAACAAUAGUGGACAAUCUUUUAAAGAAUGGCACAUUGCCAAUGCUCCUGAUGGCACAGAAGGUGACACCAUGCAGAAAAUCAAGGCUCUGAGUCAAAGAGGGUUUCAGAAAAAUUGGACUCUGAAUGUGAAGAAAUCUGGGGACUAUUUUAGCCAAUUUGUUUUGCCUAUAAUUUCCUUUUAUGCAUGCAAAAGAGCAAUUCUGACUUUAAAGACUGAUAUCUAAAUAAAUCUAAAAUAUCUUUUUUGUGUGUGUGUCUGUGAUACAGUGUCUCGCCCUUUCACCCAGGCUGGAGUGCAGUAGUGCAAUCUCAGCUCACU
rnacentral:lncRNA from 10 species